AAAUACUCUUCCAUAGGUUCCUGAAUCUCAUCUUUUACCAGGACAGAGAUUUCAAACAAAAGAUCCAGAGGAGCAAGGUGACAUUGUGGUGGCCUUAUACCCUUAUGAUGGCAUCCACCCAGAUGACUUGUCCUUCAAGAAAGGAGAAAAGAUGAAAGUUCUGGAAGAGCAUGGGGAAUGGUGGAAAGCUAAGUCCAUUUCAUCAAAGAGAGAAGGCUUCAUCCCCAGCAACUACGUGGCCAAGGUCAACACCUUAGAAACUGAAGAGUGGUUCUUCAAGGACAUAACGAGGAAAGAUGCAGAGCGACAGCUUCUGGCACCAGGGAACAGUGCAGGAGCUUUCCUUAUCAGAGAAAGCGAAACUUU